GACGAACGCUGGCGGCGUGCUUAACACAUGCAAGUCGAGCGGAAAGGCCCUGCUUGCAGGGUACUCGAGUGGCGAACGGGUGAGUAACACGUGGGUGAUCUGCCCUGCACUUCGGGAUAAGCCUGGGAAACUGGGUCUAAUACCGGAUAGGAGCCAUUUUUAGUGUGAUGGUUGGAAAGUUUUUUUCGGUGUAGGAUGAGCUCGCGGCCUAUCAGCUUGUUGGUGGGGUAAUGGCCUACCAAGGCGGCGACGGGUAGCCGGCCUGAGAGGGUGGACGGCCACAUUGGGACUGAGAUACGGCCCAGACUCCUACGGGAGGCAGCAGUGGGGAAUAUUGCACAAUGGGCGCAAGCCUGAUGCAGCGACGCCGCGUGGGGGAUGACGGCCUUCGGGUUGUAAACUCCUUUCGCUAGGGACGAAGCUUUUUGUGACGGUACCUAGAUAAGAAGCACCGGCUAACUACGUG
rnacentral:rRNA from 1 species